rnacentral:tRNA from 1 species
AACAACUUGACGCAGUGGAAGCGUGUAAGGCUCAACACCUUGAUGUCCCUGGAUCGAAACCAUGCAUCUGCUA